GAUCUUGCACAAUGGGGGAAACCCUGAUGCAGCGACGCCGCGUGGGCGAGGAAGGCCUNCGGGUCNUNAAGCCCUUUUCUGGGAGNCGAGGAAGGACGGUAGCCCAGGAAGACGUCUCGGCGAACUACGUGCCAGCAGCCGCGGUAAAACGUAUGAGGCAAGCGUUAUCCGGAGUUCUUGGGCGUAAAGCGCGCGCAGGCGGUUAGGCAAGUGGGGUGUGAAAGCUCACGGCUAAACCGGGAGAGUGCAUUCAAGACUGCCUGGCUAGAGGACGGUAGAGGGGCGCAGAAUUCGGGGUGUAGCGGUGAAAUGUGUAGAGAUCCCGAGGAAUACCAGUGGGGAAGCCGGGGCCCUGGGCCGAACCUGACGCUGAGGCGCGACAGCGUGGGGAGCGAACGGG
rnacentral:rRNA from 1 species